UAGAAUCCUCACAUGCUAUAAACUUACUAAUACCUUUAGUGUAUAACAGGCUAUGAGUAUUUCCUUUACCCUGUCACACAGAGCAAGGCGACAAAUUACUUUUAAAGUAUCCCUUCUGAAGAAUUCCAUUCAGAGGAUUACUUCACGUAUGGAUGCCACUGAACCUCGCCGGGUCGUUGUACCCCUGGAUUUAGAGCAAGAUGAAUUCCUUCAAGUCCUGAGGGACACUUUUCCUGAUUUGCAUGCUCAGCAAAGUCUUCAGUUAUGCAGAGUCAGUGGCCAAAGACUGGUCAUUCCUCUGAACUUGAACACUAUGUGCCCCAGUGAAAUACAUCGGAAUAAUGCCUUGCACCGGUCAAACCUGUACAUUCGGCCACAGGGUCAACCAAAUGAGGUUUCGUUGGGCACUUUCACCCAGUCCAAAGGACCGCCAGUCCAGGCUCCAGCUGCUACUGUCACCCAGUCCACAGGACCGCCAGUCCAUUCUACAGUCGCCACUGGUAGCCAUAAUCCUGAGGAUAUGAGGGAAGAGUUCUACAUGGACUCCUCUGAAUCAGAAGUUGAAAUCCUCUCUGUUCUCCAGUCGGGUGCAACAGCCCCAAUGAUGUCAAAUGUCUGGCUGACAUUUUGAAAGACUUUCAAAAUGACCAUCUAGACCUCAGUUGCAGUAUCACAGUCAUUGCCAGGCGCAAAAACAUUCUUCAGAGUGCAUGUGUUGCUCUAAGCAGGAGCUAUUUUGCCUGGCAUAAACUGCCACAUAUCGAGUUCGUUGGGGAGAUGGCAGAGGACUAUGGAGGUCCAAGGAGAGAGUAUUUCAGACUCCAUGAUUGAAUUGCAGGAAAAGAUGGGCAUUUUCCAAGGAAGACCAGGGCGGCUGCUUUUCAGCUAUGGCACAAAACAAGUUUUACACUGCGGGAAAGCUGGUGGCCUGGUCCAUUAUGCACAAUGGACCAGGUGUCCGAUGCCUGAACCCAGACUUAUUUCUGCUCAUGUGUGGCCAGAAGCCUGAGAUGACCUCCUUUGACCUGGAUAUUUUCCAGGAAGAGGAGUUGAAGAUGAAGCUUGAAAAUGUUGUGAGAUGCGGCACCAGUGAGGGGUUAGAGGAGCUCAAAUGCACAAUGGGGGACUGGAUAGCUGACUGUGGUGUGCCAAACAUUUACACAGCCUCUGUCAGGGACCUGCCUACAAUUCACGGGCAAAUAGUUACUCAUUACUUAUACCACAGGUGGCCAGUAUGGUCCAACAGUUCAUUGCCGGGAUGAAUUCAUGUGGCCAGAUGUGGGAAAUUGUGGCGAUGAACUGGAGAGAGUUCCUCCCACUGUUCACAAAUGCAACACAGAAACUCUCCAGGAAUGACAUCAGGAACCUCUUCACAAUAUCCUGGAGUCCACAGGGCAGCAACCACAGAGAACAGGAGGAGGAGACGGUCUUCCAGUGGGAGUGCUGGCUGAUGUCCAUUCAAGAAGAGGAGAUGGAUAUUUCCUUUGAGGAGUUGCUGGUGUUUGUGACAGGGGCCGAUUCUAUCCCCCCUCUUGGGUUCCCGCAGAAAUGCCAGCUUGACUUCUAUAAUCAGGAGGAUGGGAGCUGCCGCAUUCCUUAUUCAUCAACAUAUAGCCUUUGCCUUUUCCUCCCGAGAGGGGUUACAGAAGAAGAGGAGUUCAGAAGACUUAUGUUCCUUGCCCUGAAAGGGUCUCUUGGUUUUGGGAAGGUGUG